AGUUUGAUCAUGGCUCAGAUUGAACGUGGCGGCAGGCCUAGCACGUGCAAGUCGAACGGUAACAGGAAGCAGCUUGCUGCUUUGCUGACGAGUGGCGGACGGGUGAGUAAUGUCUGGGAAACUGCCUGAUGGAGGGGGAUAACUACUGGAAACGGUAGCUAAUACCGCAUAACGUCGCAAGACCAGAGGGGGACCUUCGGGCCUCUUGCCAUCGGAUGUGCCCAGAUGGGAUUAGCUAGUAGGUGGGGUAACGGCUCACCUAGGCGACGAUCCCUAGCUGGUCUGAGAGGAUGACCAGCCACACUGGAACUGAGACACGGUCCAGACUCCUACGGGAGGCAGCAGUGGGGAAUAUUGCACAAUGGGCGCAAGCUGAUGCAGCCAUGCCGCGUGUAUGAAGAAGGCCUUCGGGUUGUAAAGUACUUUCAGCGGGGAGGAAGGUGUUGAGGUUAAUAACCUCAGCAAUUGACGUUACCGCAGAAGAAGCACCGGCUAACUCCGUGCCAGCAGCC
rnacentral:rRNA from 1 species